UCCAGGAUAAAUAUUUCCAAGUUUAAGAUAUCAUCCUCUCAGUAACGGAACUUCAAGCAAAACCCGCUCUGGAAGAUAUACAUGAUAAAAGCACCCUGUCAACCACGGACACAUCCCACAGCCAUUUCCCCCUUGUGACAGCUCAUAAAAUGCUGCAUAAUAGUUCCUGUGUGAGUAUGAGAAAAUACUGAAACAACGUCAAGAGAAUCAAGCAAAAGGCAACUGGUCCCCUGGAUCCGUCUUCAUUGGGUCCCACUGGACAACUUUUUGCCGGAUGAACUGUAGAGGCUGGUAAUACCACAGACAACAUUCCAGGAUAGCAAAAAUUUAAGAUGUUACCUGAAGGAAUUUCUGGAGCCCUACUCUAAACCCAAUCCUGAAGAUGUCACAGAAGGGAGAAAGAAAAUGGUGGAUCUAAGAAAAUAUUGGAAAAACUGAAAAGUCCCUGGAGAGACAGAAGUUGACUCCGUUCUGAGUCCUAGCUGAAGCAACAACCAACUAGAAAAUGCAUUAGAAAUCCAGGCAUCAUCCAGAAGAGUAUUAAAAAAUCUAAGGAAGACAUUGGAGAAUUCGUAUGCUAUUUUAGCUGGCUCUGUGAUUGCAAUCACACAAAUCACUCCAUUCCAGAGAGAUUUCACGAACAGGAGGUUUUUCCAUUUCAGCCUUUCAAGGUAAAACAUUAUCUUUUCAUUUUCUAUAUACUCCAGGGAAUCAAGAAAUUAUGAAAUGUAAGCCAUAAUUAUAAUAGCAUUUCUAAGUCUUCCUUGAUGGUCACAGUUAAGAAAAGGGAAGAGGAGAACUCUUUUGUUCCCAGUGACAUUAAAAUGCCCAGUCAGAUAAAAAUAAUAUUGAAUUGGCUUUCCUUUGUUCAACUGUUGUAACCUACAAUCUCACUGCCUAUUUCACCCCAAAAUGAGUUAGUGUUGCAGAGCAAGAUAAUGACUCUCCCAUAAGCUUAUGAAUUGCUAUAGAACUGGAACCGUUCGGUGCAAAGAACUGAAAUGAAAUCAGAAGGUGAGUUGACUAUAGAUUUGUCAUACAUUUGCCAGCUGUUCAAUCUGGCCUUCUGUUCCUAUCUUUGGUACUUUUAUUUAUGCACAUGUAACACCAUGAGGAAGCAGAGAGUAUAAACGGCAACUAUCUCUUGGGUCAUUCAAUUUUGGCUUUAUAUUUUCUACUACGCUUAUGACUGCUGGUCACAUUUCUAUUCCAUUUGGGUGGUCUAAUUUAAAUGCGGAGUAUCAUAUGAGGGAUGGCAAGAAUGCAGGCUUCCUGAGGACUGAUCUUUGCUAGAGCUAAGACCUAACGUGCAUGGCUUCCCUUCACUGCUGAAGGAAGACAGUCCCUUAAGUGUAGAGCCAUGUUUAGUAGUUGAAAAUAGAAUUCUUUUUAGAAAUAAAGAUUGUAAGAUAUGAGCCAUUGGAUAUUAAAAAUAUCACUCAGGUUUGCCUGGGUGGCUCAGUCGGGUGAGUGUCUGACUCUUGAUUUUAGCUUAGGUCAUGAUCUCCCAGUUGGCGACAUUGAGGCCCGUGUCAGGCUCUGUGCUGACAGUGUGGAGCCUGCUUGGGAUUCCCUCUUCUUCUCUCUCUCUCUCUCUCUCUCUCUCUCUCUCUCUGCCCCUCCUCUGCUCCCGCUUUCUCUCUCUUUGUCUCUAAAUAAAUAAAUAAACAUUAAAAAAAUAAAAAUAAAAAUAACCCUCCAUGUGAUUAAAAAAAAAAGAUAAUCCAAAAUGAUUUCUUUUCCAGGAUCAUUUCUUCAUUAAUGUGUGAAUACUGUAAGAGAACAGGUGCAGUAAGUUGAAAUUCACAGUUGAACUGUAACCUAUGAAACCUUUCUGAACAUUCCCUCAUUGAAAGCUCUUUUCCUCUUCAUUGCUUUUCCUGCUUUCUAUUUCUACAUGGCCAUGAGCAGCUGAAAUCGCUGGCAGAUCUGGACAGUAUUUACUAAAAACAUGUUGGUACCCAGAUUCUACUGUUAUUAACUAAACAUGAAGCUGGAAACAAAUGGGAGAUGCUGGAGAUAUGAGUUAAGUCCCAGUCUCACGGAAAAUGGCACCAGACUCUUUCACCCAUAGUCUGCUUGUUUCAGGAAGAUAAAACCCAAUAUCAACACUGUGUGGGUGAUAAUCUUCUGCUUUUUCUCUUUCAGACAGCAAACAGCAUUCGCUCUUCAAAUCCCUAAAUAUUUUUGCGUUCACAUUUUCCAAAUACUUAAGGCUGCUAUUCUGAGAUAGUGGGAACCAGCCCAAUCUGUCAUCUUAUCUCUCUUAAAUAAUGAAACCCAGAUUGCCACAAUCAGCUAAAACGGAAUCCAGAGGUUGCCAUCUGAGAAUGUGGGAUGUUGCUAAUGGGUAAAGUACAACUUCCAUAGCCAAGGCUUCAAAGUCACAGCAGAUGUGUUAAUGAACUUGGAAAUCUGAGAUAAUUGUAAAUAUACAGGAAUACACAUAAGCCAAGAGGUUGAGGAGUCCUGUAACAUUAGGGAUACUCUAUUUGAAUUAUCUUACUUUCCUGAAGUGAAAGAAAAUAAAAAAUAAUUGAAGGGAGUCCUCUUUAGACUCAUCACACUUUUCAAAGUCAAGUUGAUUUUACUUGCAUUGAUUUAAAAAACAUUUUUUUUUAACAUUUAUUUAUUUUUGAGACAGAGAGAGACAGAGCACGAAUGGGGGAGGGUCAGAGAGAGAGGGAGACACAGAAUCUGAAACAGGCUCCAGGCUCUGAGCCAUCAGCCCAGAGCCCGACGCGGGGCUGGAACUCACGGACCAUGAGAUCAUGACCUAAGCCGAAGUCGGACGCUCAACCGACUGAGCCACCCAGGCGCCCCUUACUUGCAUUGAUUUUAAGCGUCCAUCAUUUCAUUUCUAGUACUAAUGUGAAUGAGGUUAAAAUGCAAGAAAUUACAAGUCUUGUGUCCCUCGGCAAUAUUCCACCAUUUGACAGAGAUAUACGUAGGUAGGCAUAACAAAUUUCUGGAUGCCUAUGUCCAUAUUGUCACUUUUGUAUAAUUUUAGUUUUGUAUUAAUUGUAUUUUCUAACUUUCCUUCAAUAAGCAUGUAUUUAGGUUUUAUAUUGUAGAUUUUAUAAAUAUAGUUUUAUUUGUGUAUUUAUUCGUAUUGAAUAAUAAGAAAGUUUAAAACAUAUUUAAGAGGAUCAAAUGAAAAAUAGGAAGCCAACCAUUAUCAUUUAAGACUCAGUCUGUAAAAUUCUAAUGCAAGGACACCACACACACACACACACACACACACACACAGGCUGCAUCUGAAGCCAAGAGAAACACAUGAUCUAAUUUAUUCCUGUGGGAGAGUAUUAUGAUUAAGACAAUGUUUAGGGAAACACAUGAUUUCUGUUCUCGUAUGUAUAGUGAAGGGGUGAAGGGUCAGGAGCGCCCCCAAUGGCUUAUGGUUCUAAAGGAAAGGAACAUAGUCAGUGUGCCCUGCAAGCUUGUGACGGCAGGAAACAUGUCAGCCAUCUUCACUAAUGUAUUUCCAGAGCUUAGCACAAUGCCUGUUUAUUCGCUGGCAGUAUGGAGUUAAUCAUACCUACCUUUCAGUUGUUAGGAGGAUUAAAUGAACACAGGAUUGAGAUAAUAUAGUAUUUGACUGGUCUGGUUGUCUAUUGUGUAACAAACAACCCAAGGUGUUGUGGCCGGAAAUAACCACAAUUAUUAUUUUGCCCUGUCGUUUAGGCGGGGCGCAGUGGAAAUAGCUUGCUCCUGCUUCAUUCAGGCUUCAGGUGGGGCGGUUUGAAAACAAGGCCUGUAAUCACCUGCAGGCUCAAGGCUUGCUCACUCUUAGCUCUGGUGGUGAUGCUGCCGUCAGUUGAGUCUGACUGGGGGGCCGUCAAGCGAGAGCACUUACAUGUGACCUCCCCUUGUGGCCUGAGCUUCCUCACAAUGUCAUCCUUGGGUUGGAAGAGUGAAUGUCCCAAGACUGAGAGCCAGAGAGAACUCCUGUGAUCUUACCUUGGAAGUUUGCAGUGUUACCUCUGCCGUGUUGUCUUUGUUUAGGCGACAUUCACAGUGGUCACCUCAACUUCAAGAGGAAGGAAAGUAGACUCUACUGCUUGAUGAAAAGUGGUGUGCAGGACCAGGAAUAUGGCUGUGGCCUUUUAUUUGAAAAUACUAUUAACAUCCUGACGCACAAUGGGAUACUGAAAAUUUGACAUAAUUUUUAUGUUAAGAUGAGAUGUUGGCUAGGUGUGAUUAAUCACUCUAUUUCUGGUUAGGCAAACUUUCCUCAAAUAUGUCACUUUUUAAUGACGGUGUAGCCUUUUAUUUAUUUAUUUUAACGUUUAUUUAUUUUUGAGAGAGAGAGAGCCAGCAGGGGAGGGAGACAUACAGAAUCUGAAGCAGGCUCAGCACAGAGCCCCAUGCAGGGCUUGAACUCACGAACCACAAGAUCCUGACCUGAGUCAAAGUUGGAUGCUUAACUGACUGAGCCAGCCGACAAUGUGGCUUUUUAUAGCAAGAAAUUAGAUUUUUCUGGUGUGAGAAGGUCCUGGAUUCCUGGUGAGUAAUCUGAAUUUCCAGUAGAGAUUUGAGAGUUAGAUCAUAAUCACGCCCUUUCAUUCUGGAAAAUUUAUUUGAAAUGAGAAUGAAAAUGAGCAAAAUUACGGAUGCAUUUUCAAGCAAAGGCAAAAAUAAGAUUACUUCAGUACAUGGGUACAUUUUGCUCAAGUGUGACAAUGGGCAAGGGGUUGGGGGGUAGCUCUAUGGAAGCAGAGAGUGAGAACAAGUGGUAUGGUUACUGUAACUACACAAGUCUUCCUGGGAACAGAUUUUUAAAUCCUAUUUUGUGUUCACAUUGGACUUCUGGACUUCUGAGCAGAAUAAAGUAAAAUUCCCUCCAGUGUUGAGGUAAAGGAGAGGUCUCUGCCUCCACUAUUUGGACAGCUGGAACCCCCUCUCUUUAACCUCCUGGAACAGACAGGGUGCCGGCUUCCAGGCCCUGGGAGUAUUGCAUUUCCUCCUGCUCCACGACUGAGAAAGGUGUGAGGAAAGCCUUUGUUUUAGUCCUUUAGAAGCUAGAAUGACCACAAGCGAAGAGUUGUUGGAUUCAGAGACCACACAAAUGAAAUAACCUGGGCAUUAAAAAAAUCAUCUGUGUUUCUGAAGUGGGAAAAAAAUGCUUCAGGUCUCUGUUUAAUUGGUAAGUUCGGACAUGUUUCAAGACGUGCAUUCAUUUACUCAUUCAUUUAAUAAGUAUUUAUUGAAAGCCAACUAUAUGCUGGGUACCAAGCUGGAUGCUCAAAAUAAUAAGAUAAGCAAAAGGAACAAGGUUCUUGCCCUCGCAGGUCUUAUGGCUAGGAGAGACCAAAUAUGGGAAUUUUGUUAGUUCUGAGGUUUAGAGUAGCCACAGUAUAGCACAGGCUGGGAUAGGAGCUGGGAAGAAUUAAAGUCAAUGGGUCAGUUAUACUAUGCCACCAUGCAUGAUAGUUUCCCUGGGGACUCAUAGCCUCAAAGGAGACCAGAAAACAGAGGUGAAGUUUCAUGUCCAUGGGGCCUGUGCCCAGAGACUGGCAGAGACUAGAAUCUGAACCUGUAAUAGAAUCCCCAUUUCAGGACCUAGAAUGGGUAGAUGUGACCGCUUUCCAGAAGGAGGCAGAACACUACAGCUACUUGUAGUUGGUGAUUAAGAUACAGGCAGAUAUUGGCCUACAGCAGAGGCAACAUACUCUUUUUUUUUUUUUUGAGCCACAAUUAUUUAUUCCUAGAAAUGGACUCUGAGGAAAUAAUCAUGGGCGAGUGCAAAGAUUUAUUUACAAGGGUGCUUAAUACAGAUCUCUUUAUAAGUAGGAAAAAGGAGGAAGAAGAAGAGGAAGAAGAGUUGAAGGAGAAGGAAGAAAAGGAAAAAAAUGGGAAGAUAUUGAGCACCCCUAUGAGAGAGAAAGACAGACAGUGAGCAGGGUAGGGGCAGAGAGCGGGGGAGACACAGAAUCCGAAGCAGGCUCCAGGCUCUGAGCUGUCAGCACAGAGCCUGAUGUGGGGCUCAAACCCACAAACCUUGUGAUCAUGACCUGAGCCGAAGUCAGAUGCCCACACGACUGAGCCACCCAGGCGCCCCUUAUUAUCUCCACUUUAAAGGAUGCAAGUUCCAGGAAGACAGGAGUUAUUGUCUAUUUUGUCCACUGUUAUAUCCUCAGUGCCAGAAGAGAUAAUAAAUAGGAUCAGAGAGGUCAUCACAGAUGAUGUCAGGUAUCCAAGUCUGGAAGACUGAAGAACAUUUCAGCAUGCAGACAAAGGUAGAAAGAACACAGGUAAAACAGAGGCCUGACAGUAUUGAGCAUGAGUCUGAAGGGACAAGAGUUGAAGUGGUCUGAAGGAGUGAAUGUAAAGAGGUUCCCAAUGGGAGCCACAUCAUUGCCAAGAAAGGGAUCUAUCCUGGCCUGAUAGAACAGGAAGCGUGAGCCAAAUGAGGCCACAGCAAAGAUGUAGCAGGUGAGGGGAGUGUGGGUGUAGAAUGUCUGUGAAUCACAUUCCUGGGCAUGGCCAACAGGAAGGAUGUGGUAAUAAUAGGGAGGCGACUGUGUUAGAACUAGCUGUCCCCAAGGUUCUAGGUGGAACUGUGGAGUGAAAGGCUCAUUUAGACAGGCUCAAAAUGUCCCUUUUCAGCAAUCCAGCCUACAAGUUGAAUCGCAAAACUUUCGAUCUAGCGGUAGGAUUACUUUGAAAUUGCCUCACUAGAGUGGGGGCCUGGUCUUGGGUGACAGAGAUGGUGGGGAUCAGCCUUGGCUUGGUAGUAUGACCGGAGAAUACACCUCCAAGUGGUACUAAUGAAAGGUUUAAAAUCUUCCAGGCCAGUGUGUUAUCCCAAGAG